rnacentral:rRNA from 1 species
GAUGAACGCUGGCGGCGUGCCUAAUACAUGCAAGUCGAGCGGACGGACGAGAAGCUUGCUUCUCUGAUGUUAGCGGCGGACGGGUGAGUAACACGUGGAUAACCUACCUAUAAGACUGGGAUAACUUCGGGAAACCGGAGCUAAUCCCGGAUAAUAUUUUGAACCGCAUGGUUCAAAAGUGAAAGACGGUCUUGCUGUCACUAUAGAUGGAUCCGCGCUGCAUUAGCUAGUUGGUAAGGUAACGGCUUACCAAGGCAACGAUGGAUAGCCGACCUGAGAGGGGGAUAGCCCACAUUGGAACGUGGACGCCGACCAGACGCCUACGGGAGGGAGCAGUAGGGUACCGGCCGCAAUGGGCGAAAAUCUUGCGGAGUAGCCGCACGUGAGUGAUGAAGGUCCUCCGAGCGUAAUACUCUGUUAUUAGUGAAGAACAUAUGUGGAAGGAACUGUGCACAGCUUGACGGUACUUAAUCAGAAAGCCCCGGCUAACUACGUG